AACGAACGCUGGCGGCAGGCCUAACACAUGCAAGUCGAACGCCGUAGCAAUACGGAGUGGCAGACGGGUGAGUAACGCGUGGGAACAUACCCCUCGGUUCGGAAUAACUCAGGGAAACUUGAGCUAAUACCGGAUACGUCCGAUGUUUUAAUCGACCUUGGAGAAAGAUUUAUCGCCGGAGGAUUGGCCCGCGUCUGAUUAGCUUGUUGGUGAGGUAAUGGCUCACCAAGGCGACGAUCAGUAGCUGGUCUGAGAGGAUGAUCAGCCACAUUGGGACUGAGACACGGCCCAAACUCCUACGGGAGGCAGCAGUGGGGAAUAUUGGACAAUGGGCGAAAGCCUGAUCCAGCCAUGCCGCGUGAGUGAUGAAGGCCUUAGGG
rnacentral:rRNA from 1 species